rnacentral:siRNA from 1 species
GGAGCGUUCAGUCCUCAGCGAA